UUGAUUCCGCAGCUCCGGCACUUCCCAAAGUCGUGGCCCAGGGCUCCGGGCACGUACCAGUCAUCAUGGUGGUUCUUAUUAGGUGGAGGCUGAAUCCAUAGGUUCUCUCCUUUGAGCUGCACGGCCGGCGGCCCUCUUGGUGUUUGUGUCUUACCGCGGGGUACACUGAGAUUUGGAGAC
ensembl:misc_RNA